rnacentral:rRNA from 1 species
CCCUUAGAUGUUCUGGGCCGCACGCGUGCUACGCUGAGUGGAUCAGCGGGUCAGGUUGCGCGAAAGCGUUUCCUAAUCUUUAAAUCCGCUCGUGAUGGGGAUUGACGGUUGCAAUUUUCUGUCAUGAACGAGGAAUACCUUGUAAGCGCGGGUCAUCAUCCCGCGCUGAAUACGUCCCUGCCCUUUGUACACACCGCCCGUCGCUACUACUGAUUGGGUGUUCAAGUGAGAUGCUUAGACCCUUGUUGCAUGGUUCAUUAUUGUGCUCCGAAAGGAAAAAGUUUCAAGCUUGAGUGUCUAGAGGAAGUAAAAGUCGUAACA